UAUUAUUUUGGAUGUAAAUUAUAUUAACUUGAGUAGUAUUAGUUAAGGUCUUGAAACUUAAAGAAUUUGGCGGUAUUUUAGUCUAUUUAGAGGAAUCUGUUCCGUAAUCGAUAAUCCGCGUUGGACCUUACUUAAUUUAGGUUAGCUUGUAUACCGCUGUUGGCGAGGAUCUUAUAAGAGUAAUAAUUUUCUUAAUAUUUUUAAAAGUAGUUUUUCAGGUCAAGGUGCAGUUAAUAAUUAAGUGGAAAUGGAUUACAAUAUUUGUUUAAUAUAUGAAUUAUUAUUUGAAAUAUAAUAAUAUGAAGGUGGAUUUAAUAGUAAUAUUAUGAAGAUUGUUAAUGUGAUUUUAGCUCUAAAGUAUGUACACAUCGCCCGUCGCUCUCGUUAUAUUUAAGGUGAG
rnacentral:rRNA from 1 species